ensembl:lncRNA
GCAAGAAGUGCUGGGGGAUUUUAAGAUCCAGAUGGAAAAAAAAAACUUGGGGUGGGAGCGGGGAUGUGGGGUAGGAAGAACACACUCUUCUUCAUCCAGGGGAUUUUAACCUCCUAGGACUGAUAUUAAAUGUGAAACUGGGGGUAUCUGUGUGUAUGUACAUUUGGGGGACAGGGUCCAUAGUUCUUAUCAGAGUUCCAGUAGGGUCCCUACCCUAAAAGGUUAAGAACUCUGCAUCUGGAAGGCAGGCAAUUAGGUUAGCAAAUCAUCAUCCUAAACAUGACCUGAACUGAGACAAUCACGAGAAAAGAAAAGUGCUUUGUGCUCCAAAGAAAACAAAAGCUAUUUCCAACAGGAAUUGGCUGUCACAUUCUCUGCACUUGGAAAAAAAAAAAAUCAACAGAGCAUCCGCCCAGCCUGCCCAAGGCCCAUCCCUUAAGCCCAGGUCUCCAGGGAAGGCUUCAAGCCUUUGUUUUCCAGUCUGUGGGCAACUGGUUGGGCAGAGAGCCAGAAGGCAGAGACCUUGAUGGAAGAAAAUAUAGAGAUGUGCCAAAUUGUGUGGGCUAGAAGCACCUGAAGGUGGGCUCUGGCUGCUGCCAUGAGACCCACCAGGUGAGGGAAAAGGUGCCGGUUCAGACCCAGUUCUCUUCUGAUGCCUUGCUUUGGCUCCAGCCAUGAUGUCAGGCCUGCUGUUUCCUCCAGGUGCUCUGGGCAUCAUGGAUUUGCCUGAUGGUCCAGUGGAUAGGAAUCUGCUUGCCAACACGAGGGACAUGGGUUUGAUCUCUGGUCAGAGAAGAUUCCACAUGCCUCAGGACAACUAAGCCCAUGGGCCACAGAACUAUUGAGCCCACGUGCCCCAGAGCCCAAGUUCGACAAGAGAAGCCACAGCAAUGAUAAGCCUGUAUGACACUCCUACAGAGGAGCUGGCCUCAGCAAUGAAGACCCAUCACAGCCAAAAAUAAAUAGGAAAAUAAA